GCUCCAGUGGCGCAAUUGGUUAGCGCACGGUACUUAUAAGACAGUAAGUCGUGAGCAAUGCCGGGGUUGUGAGUUCGAGCCUCACCUGGAGCA
rnacentral:tRNA from 2 species